GAGACACCCCUAUGGAGCAGGACUUGCUUCAGUGGGGCUUUGGUGUUCACUGAGUCUACCCCUUGGGUGUGUCCCU
rnacentral:pre_miRNA from 1 species